UCGGAUAUAGUGUAGCAGGAACACAGCCUCUUCUCACAUUGGAGAUCUUUCUCGGUUCCGAAGGCAGUCUAGGGUUCGAAUCCCUGUGUCUGAG